rnacentral:rRNA from 1 species
CUACGGGUGGCUGCAGUGGGGAAUAUUGCACAAUGGAGGAAACUCUGAUGCAGCAACGCCGCGUGGAGGAUGACACUUUUCGGAGCGUAAACUCCUCUUCUAUAGGAAGAAGAUGACGGUACUAUAUGAAUAAGCGCCGGCUAACUCCGUGCCAGCAGCCGCGGUAAUACGGAGGGCGCAAGCGUUACUCGGAAUCACUGGGCGUAAAGAGCGUGUAGGCGGAUUAAAAAGUCAGAAGUGAAAUCCUAUAGCUUAACUAUAGAACUGCUUCUGAAACUCUUAAUCUAGAAUAUGGGAGAGGUAGAUGGAAUUUCUGGUGUAGGGGUAAAAUCCGUAGAGAUCAGAAGGAAUACCGAUUGCGAAGGCGAUCUACUAGAACAUUAUUGACGCUGAGACGCGAAAGCGUGGGGAGCAAACAGGAUUAGAUACCCGUGUAGUC